GACGAACGCUGGCGGCGUGCUUAACACAUGCAAGUCGAACGGAAAGGCCCUGCUUUUGUGGGGUGCUCGAGUGGCGAACGGGUGAGUAACACGUGAGUAACCUGCCCUUGACUUUGGGAUAACUUCAGGAAACUGGGGCUAAUACCGGAUAGGAGCUCCUGCUGCAUGGUGGGGGUUGGAAAGUUUCGGCGGUUGGGGAUGGACUCGCGGCUUAUCAGCUUGUUGGUGGGGUAGUGGCUUACCAAGGCUUUGACGGGUAGCCGGCCUGAGAGGGUGACCGGCAACAGUGGGGCGGAGAUACGGCGAGGUCCCGAACGGGGGGAAAAGGGGGGAAUUGGGGAAAAUGGGGGGGAGGCGUGGCACACAAGCCCCGGGGGCGGAAGGAGGGCUUGGGGUUGGAAAACCCUUUCGGCCGGUGAGGAGGGUGGGGGGAGGGUAGGGGAUAAGAAAGACCGGGCUAACUAGGUG
rnacentral:rRNA from 1 species